rnacentral:lncRNA from 1 species
AGAAACAUAAUUUUUAAUUUCACAAAUUUCAAUCUGGAAAUUCAGUUUUAGAAAGAAAAAAAAAAUAAUCAUUCAGAUUUUUAAUUUGUUUUAAGAUUUUUGAAAUUGAAUUGAAACUAAUUAUUCACAUAAAUAAAUUUGAAAAAUAAAUAAAUAAAUAACUUGAUUAGCCGGUGUUUUCAGCCUCGCCGGAAAUGCGGGGCCCACCGCAAAUGCGGAAAUACGUUGUGUUCAGGACGUAUCUAAAAUCCCUAAAGUGGAAUCUUACGCGUACAGCGCAGUCUCCGCUUUGGCUAUGGCAUCUUUCAUCAGACCUGUCCAUGCACAUGCAUAGCUUUCAUCAAUGGAGCAGCCGGAUAUCGAACAAGGAUUGCCAGAAGAAAUCGGUUAUCUCGUGGCUUUACAGUUCAAGCCAUUCGAGAGCAGAGAUGAAGAUUUAUACGCCUCCAGAUUGAUCGAAAGCACCUUCUUUAGACACAAAUGAUAGAAAUACGAAGAGUUGGUCAAUAUGGCCAACUCUCCCUUUUUCAGAAACUCACCUGUUCCACAAAUGCUUAAAAUGGCUCGACAAACAUGAGGGUAAUUCCGUCAUUCACUAUUAAUACUCGCACCUGCAAAUAUUGGCUCAUCGGUCGGUGGUUUCUUACAUAAAAUUAAAAAAAAAAAAAAAAAAAAAAAAUUAAAGAAUUUUAUUUUACCUAGAUAAAUGAGUUGUUCAAGAAUUUACUCUAAUCAUAUUAGAGACAGAAAUUGCAGUCUAAUUUCUUACCUUCACAAACAUGAGAUAAUAGGGAAGAAGAGAAUUUCAACAGAAACAAGAUGAAUAAUAUAAUUAACAACAAGAGAAGACGUACCGAAAUUUUCCAGCACUACUGACUAGCUUGGAAAUGCACACAGCUUUUGUCUACUUCUACAUUUGUGCCCAUAUCCACACCUUCUUGAUCAGACACAUCU